UGGGGAAUAUUGCACAAUGGAGGGAACUCUGAUGCAGCGACGCCGCGUGAGUGAUGAAGGAAUUCGUUUCGUAAAACUCUGUUCUAUGGGAAGAAAAGGACUGUACCAUAGGAGAAAGCUCCGGCUAAAUACGUGCCAGCAGCCGCGGUAAUACGUAUGGAGCGAGCGUUGUCCGGAAUUAUUGGGCGUAAAGGGUGCGCAGGCGGCUUUACAAGUUGGAUGUGAAAUAUUGUGGCUCAACCACAAACGUGCAUCCAAAACUGCAAAGCUUGAGUUAAGGAGAGGUAAGUGGAAUUCCUGGUGUAGCGGUGGAAUGCGUAGAAAUCAGGAGGAAUACCGGUGGCGAAGGCGACUUACUGGACUUAAACUGACGCUCAGGCACGAAAGCGUGGGAGCAAACAGG
rnacentral:rRNA from 1 species